GGGCAGCAGAUUUUUGGAAGUGGCAACCACUUGAUAGGAUUUCUUCUCCAAUCCAAACUCUUUUCUUUCCAGAUCUAAAACUCUUCUUUUCAAAUCUGAAAUCUCCCUUGAUGAAGCCUCUAACCACCAGAGAAAAAAGGCAUGGAACUUCUCUUGGACGGUAGCAAGAAGGGAGCAAAGAGGACGACAAUCAUUAGGGGGUGCUAGAAACCCUAGCACC
rnacentral:lncRNA from 1 species